rnacentral:rRNA from 1 species
GAUGAACGCUGGCGGCGUGCCUAAUACAUGCAAGUCGAGCGAAUGGAUUGAGAGCUUGCUCUUAUGAAGUUAGCGGCGGACGGGUGAGUAACACGUGGGUAACCUGCCCACAAGACUGGGAUAACUCCGGGAAACCGGGGCUAAUACCGGAUAAUAUUUUGAACUGCAUGGUUCAAAAUUGAAAGGCGGCUUCGGCUGUCACUUAUGGAUGGACCCGCGUCGCAUUAGCUAGUUGGUGAGGUAACGGCUCACCAAGGCAACGAUGCGUAGCCGACCUGAGAGGGUGAUCGGCCACACUGGGACUGAGACACGGCCCAGACUCCUACGGGAGGCAGCAGUAGGGAAUCUUCCGCAAUGGACGAAAGUCUGACGGAGCAACGCCGCGUGAGUGAUGAAGGCUUUCGGGUCGUAAAACUCUGUUGUUAGGGAAGAACAAGUGCUAGUUGAAUAAGCUGGCACCUUGACGGUACCUAACCAGAAAGCCACGGCUAACUACGUGCCAGCAGCCGCCGUAA